CUCACCAUGGUUUGCAUUGUUCAAAUCACAGAUAAUGAAGCCUCGCUGACCCAAAACAGACCAAUAUGUGGUAGUCGAGGGUUGAGGAGUGUAACCGGUAGCUUGAUGUUUGCAGGACAAGGAAGUGGAAACUGUGGUGGUCCCAAGACACUGAGUUCUAGUGUACGAUUUAGUUUCUCUACACCUGUGGGUCAGGCUCCGGUUCAUCCACCCAUCAUGAUGGUCCAGCAACCGCAGCCGCCGCCGCCCCCGCCGCAGCAACAGACCAUAAUAAUGGGCGGGGCCCCAGCAGCUGAAGCAACAGGAGACUGCCCGAUCUGUAAGAUUUCGUGGGACAAUGAUUACAAUAGGACAACCAGCUCCACCCUCCACCACUGUCAUAGUGCAAGCUGCGGCGCCUCCUCUCAAACGCAAACAGCCAAGGGGAAACUGCCCACGCUGUAAGAAAGCGGACUUGGAGAAAAGGAAUCCUCCCCCAUUGUUUAUCCUCAUCCUGUGUAUGACCUGCGUCGGUAUCCUGUGUAUCCCGCUCUUGAUGACAAAGGAGUGCCCGAAGUAAGGUUCUGUAUUGAAGAGUCUCAAAAGCGAAAUAAGAAACUCACACAUGAAUAUAAAAACUUCCAAGAACUCCACAAAUUGCUAUGUACGUACCAGAGUGAAGGUGUGUCCCAGGAGAAACUUCUAGUGGAUAU
rnacentral:misc_RNA from 1 species